rnacentral:RNase_P_RNA from 1 species
UGACAGGUCAAAAGUCACCGCUCCCGGACCACAAGUCCGGGGGAGGAAAGUCCGGGCUCCGCAGAGCAUGGCACCGGGUAACAACCGGGUCCCGCACUCCAGGCUUGGAGCGCGGGAACAGAGAGUGUCGCAGAAAAAAUACCGCCCUGCGUUUUCCUUGGAAAAUUCAGGGCAAGGGUGAAAAGGCGGGGUAAGAGCCCACCGCGC